rnacentral:lncRNA from 1 species
ACCCACACACAGCUAGAAGGAGCAACCUCUUUAGGCAGAGGGACAAGCCACUCCAUCCAGCAUCUUCCCUCCCAUCCUCGCAAUCUCGCAGGGCGGAGAAACAAAAUAACGCAUUUAUUUGGGGAGAGCCCGGGAGGAAAAGCAAAGCGGGGAAGUCGAGGCCCUGCGGGGCUUAGCGCCAGCGCCGGGGACUUCCUCCCGGGUCUCCAGCCGCGCCGCCGCCGCCCGGACUGCCCGGACUGCCCAGGCUGCCCGGACUGCCCGGACUGCCCGGGCUGCCGCAGCCCCUGCCCCGCUGCCGCCGCGGAGGCGGGGACGCGAGAGGAGGAAGGGGCGGAGAGAGCCGCGGGGGGCGGUGCCCAGCCCCAGCUGAGCGCUCUCGGGCACGUGACCACGCCGGGGCUCGGCUCUCGGCUGCUCUCGCGCCCCCUCGGAGGAGCCCCGGGGAGCGUCUCGCGCCCCCAGCCCCAGCCCCAAGCCCAGCCCGGGCAGCACGGCGGCGGCGGCGGCGGCAGCAGGAGAAGGAGCCGGAGCGGGAGCAGCAGCAGCGGCGGCGGCGGCGGCAGCGACUCGCGCCCUUCUGUGCCGCGCGCUCCGGGGCGCCCCGAGAAGAGUCCGCGCGGGGAGCUGCGUGCCCUCGGCGGAGACCUCACCUUGGUGGCGGUUACAAAAAAUAAAUUGGCACCGAAGUGCUUCGUGAGCCUCGGGGGCACGCACGCACACGCACUGCUCCCGCGGGCUCGGGCCGGACCGACGGGCGCGGGCAGCGGCAUUUCUUCGGGACUGCACCGGGAGCAGCGCCCCCGCUUCAUGCCCAGGGCCCCCUCGGCGGGACGAGGAGCCGCGGGCGGCCGCCGGCCCGGCCGGCACGGACUGCUGCAGCCCCGAAAGCCCGAGCGCGGGGGCGGCCGCCGGUUGGCCGCGAGGAGCCCCGGAGCGGUAGGUGGGCCGGGGGCCGGGGGCGGUGGGCUGCGGACACCACCGGAGCUACUCGGGCGAGGGGCAGCGGCGGCGGCGGCACCAGCGGGCUCCGGCACCUCCCCGGGCGGCCCGCGGUCUCCGCCUGGUGGCUGCCGCCGCCGCCGCCGCGACCCCGGCCGCCGAGGGGUUGCGCUGGGCUGCUGGCGGGGGGCGCCCCCCGGGGAGCCGCCCCCCAGACCUCCGGGGCCGGGAGCACGGCGGCGCGCGGACGGGGUGGCCGUCUUCACGCUUGCCGGCGACUCCUCCGAAAUGCCUGGAAGCCCCCGGGGACAGCGCCCCGUUUCGGGCUCCCCCUGCCCUGCUGGGCUCCCGCUGGCUUCGUCUGCUCUCGCCCUCCUUCCCUUCUCUUUCCCUCUCUUCCUCUUUUCUCUCCCUCUCCUCCUCUCUUCUUCCUUUCUUUACCCUUCUCUCUUCUCCCCCUUCUUUCUUUUUCUUCCUAUCUGUGUUUCUGUCUCUAAUUCCCCCUCUACUUCCUAA